AUUGAACGCUGGCGGCAGGCCUAACACAUGCAAGUCGAGCGGUAACACAGGGAGCUUGCUCCUGGGUGACGAGCGGCGGACGGGUGAGUAACGUCUGGGAAACUGCCUGCUGGAGGGGGAUAACUACUGGCAACGGUAGCUAAUACCGCAUAACAUCGCAAGACCAAAGAGGGGGACCUUCGGGCCUCUUCCCAUCAGAUGUGCCCAGAUGGGAUUAGCUAGUAGGUGGGGUAAUGGCUCACCUAGGGGACGAUCCCUAGCUGGUCUGAGAGGAUGACCAGCCACACUGGAACUGAGACACGGUCCAGACUCCUACGGGAGGCAGCAGUGGGGAAUAUUGCACAAUGGGCGCAAGCCUGAUGCAGCCAUGCCGCGUGUAUGAAGAAGACCUUCGGGUUGUAAAGUACUUUCAGCGGGGAGGAAGGUGUUGAGGUUAAUAACCUCAGCAAUUGACGUUACCCGCAGAAGAAGCACCGGCUAACUCCGUGCCAGCAGCCGCGGUAACAC
rnacentral:rRNA from 1 species